AUGAACGACAUAAUUCCAGAAUGCUCAGAAGAGCUCUAUGAUUCCUUAGAUAGUGGAGAAGAAUACAUUCCCAACUCUGAGUCAAGUGAAGAUAGCUUAUCAGAUGUUAGUUCAGUUACCAUAGCUAAACUGAGUCCAAGGAAGAAAGUCCUCCGAGACAUUGCUUCUACAUCAAAACAUAUUGUUCCUGACAGCACUAUUGUAAAUGAGGAAGAUGGAGAUAGCAGCGAGGCUGAGUGUGAGUGGACAGACGAUGAAGACUGUGCUGGCACCAGUCAGCGACCUGUUCGGAGAAAUGCUCCGGCAUGUGUGGAGGGGCAGAUUCAUGUUCCUGCUGUUAAGAAGAACAAUGGAAAAAGAGUGUAUAACAAGAGACACUACUGCCUGUACUGUGAGAAGUCAUGCAGCAAAAUUGCAAGACAUCUUCAACUGAAGCACUCUGAUGAAGGUAAAGUCCUGGAAGCCUUCAGUUUUCCAAAGGGCUCAAAGAAAAGAAAACUUCAUCUUGAUUUAAUAAGGAACCAAGGUAAUUUUGCACAUAAUGCAGCUGUCAUGAAAAAGGGGGAAGGAGAACUUGUUGCUUGCAAACGACCAUGCAAGGACAGUAAGAGAGAUGACUACAUGCACUGUGCCUACUGCCAGGGGCUUUUCAUUCGUAAGAUUCUUUGGCGACACAUAAAAGUGUGCCAGUUCCGAUCAAAAGAGGCCAGACCACAACGUGGAAAAAACAAAGUACAAGCUCUCUGUAGUUUUGCAGAACCAGCUCCAGAUGACAUUAGUGAACGAAUAUGGAAGCUGCUCAGUGUUAUGCAGGCUGAUGAAAUCACAAGUGCUGUAAAAAAUGAUCGUCACAUCAUCAGAAUUGCAGAGCAGUUGCUAAACAAAAAAGGAUCAUCUGAUGCAUCUCAAGCCUAUAUUAGGCAGACUCUGAGAGAACUUGGAAGACUUUUGAUUGCUGCGCGAAAUGCUACCACACUUAAGACAAUGGCAGAUUUUAUCAAUCCCAAAAAAUAUGUGGAGGUUGUCAAAGCUGUAAAAUUGACAUGUGGAUAUGAUGAAGAAACUGAAAAAUACAGAGUUCCCUCACUUGCAAAGAAAAUAGGAAAUGCUUUGUCAAAACUCAGCAAAGUUGUAAAGGUCCAGGCUUUAAUUGCUGGAGACAAAGUGUUGGAGAAGAAAGCAACAGACUUUCAAGAAGUCCACAGUGAAAAGUGGAAUGAGCUGGUGUCUGCUACAGCAGCACGCAAUGCUUCAGAAUCACAAUGGAAUGUGCCAACAAUGCUGCCGUUCACUGAGGAUGUGCAAAAACUUCACACCUUUCUGAACAAAAACUGUGAUGAAUGCAGCAGUAACUUGUUGGAAGAGGCAUCAGAAAAGAACUGGUCUGCACUUGCAAAAGUGGUCAUGGCUGAAAUUAUUUUGUUCAACAGACGUAGAGAGGGAGAGGUUUCAAGAAUGCGGCUUUCUUCUUUUCUUACAAGAGACACAUCUACCCCACAUGGAGACAUAGACUGGGCACUUUCUGAGGCUGAGAAAGUUUUAUGCAAACACUUUACAAGGGUCAUUAUCAGAGGGAAAAGAGGACGUGCUGUCCCCAUUUUGCUUACCCCUAAAAUGGUGGAUGCUCUGGAUUUGCUGGUGAAAAAACGAGAUGCU
ensembl:lncRNA